AUUGAACGCUGGCGGCAUGCCUUACACAUGCAAGUCGAACGGCAGCACGGGAGCAAUCCUGGUGGCGAGUGGCGAACGGGUGAGUAAUAUAUCGGAACGUGCCCAGUCGUGGGGAUAACGUAGCGAAAGCUACGCUAAUACCGCAUACGAUCUAUGGAUGAAAGCGGGGGAUCGCAAGACCUCGCGCGAUUGGAGCGGCCGAUAUCAGAUUAGGUAGUUGGUGAGGUAAAGGCUCACCAAGCCGACGAUCUGUAGCUGGUCUGAGAGGACGACCAGCCACACUGGGACUGAGACACGGCCCAGACUCCUACGGGAGGCAGCAGUGGGGAAUUUUUGGACAAUGGGCGCAAGCCUGAUCCAGCAAUGCCGCGUGCAGGAUGAAGCCU
rnacentral:rRNA from 1 species